rnacentral:rRNA from 1 species
UCGUCACACUAUCAUUAACUGAAUCCAUAGGUUAAUGAGGCGAACCGGGGGAACUGAAACAUCUAAGUACCCCGAGGAAAAGAAAUCAACCGAGAUUCCCCCAGUAGCGGCGAGCGAACGGGGAGGAGCCCAGAGCCUGAAUCAGCAUGUGUGUUAGUGGAAGCGUCUGGAAAGGCGCGCGAUACAGGGUGACAGCCCCGUACACAAAAGCGCAUGUGCUGUGAGCUCGAUGAGUAGGGCGGGACACGUGGUAUCCUGUCUGAAUAUGGGGGGACCAUCCUCCAAGGCUAAAUACUCCUGACUGACCGAUAGUGAACCAGUACCGUGAGGGAAAGGCGAAAAGAACCCCGGCGAGGGGAGUGAAAAAGAACCUGAAACCGUGUACGUACAAGCAGUGGGAGCACAGGUUUACCUGUGUGACUGCGUACCUUUUGUAUAAUGGGUCAGCGACUUAUAUUCUGUAGCAAGGUUAACCGAAUAGGGGAGCCGGAGGGAAACCGAGUCUUAAUUGGGCGUUAAGUUGCAGGGUAUAGACCCGAAACCCGGUGAUCUAGCCAUGGGCAGGUUGAAGGUUGGGUAACACUAACUGGAGGACCGAACCGACUAAUGUUGAAAAAUUAGCGGAUGACCUGUGGCUGGGGGUGAAAGGCCAAUCAAACCGGGAGAUAGCUGGUUCUCCCCGAAAGCUAUUUAGGUAGCGCCUCGUGAAUUCAUCUCCGGGGGUAGAGCACUGUUUCGGCUAGGGGGCCAUCCCGGCUUACCAACCCGAUGCAAACUGCGAAUACCGGAGAAUGUUAUCACGGGAGACACACGGCGGGUGCUAACGUCCGUCGUGAAGAGGGAAACAACCCAGACCGCCAGCUAAGGUCCCAAAGUCAUGGUUAAGUGGGAAACGAUGUGGGAAGGCCCAGACAGCCAGGAUGUUGGCUUAGAAGCAGCCAUCAUUUAAAGAAAGCGUAAUAGCUCACUGGUCGAGUCGGCCUGCGCGGAAGAUGUAACGGGGCUAAACCAU